rnacentral:lncRNA from 1 species
AUCCCAACAGAAGAACAGAGCUGGGGAAAGAGGCCAGUACUAAUUUUAGUCUGUUUCAUGGAAAAGAGUGGCGGAUCCAUUUGAUGCCCAAAGACAGGAAGGCACUCACCUCUGCGUGGACCUUUGAAGCAAAGCUGUAUACACUGGACGAAUUUUACUCUGGACUUUCUGGAUGCUGUGAAUCGAAUUGUAAGUUUUGACUCUCAGGUAGGUCUCUGAGGUAAGAUUGGGGUCAGCUGUGUGUGACAAGAAGCCAUGUUUCUGUUUUAUGAAAUGAGCACUGGGGGCCGGUGUGGCAGGGCCAGUGUGGCUGCUCUGUAGGAGCGAAGGCCCCAGCUCCUUCAGUUUGGUCCCACCCUCUCCUGUACUUGCACGGGCGGCCCCCAGGCCUGCAGGGGCUGAGAUCUCAGCAGUUUUCCACCCUCAGGAAGGAGAAGUGGGAGGGGAGGCGGCUCUGCUUCCCUGUGGACACUUCCCGGAGUUGCACACGACAUCUUCUUGGUCAGUGACCGCCACAGGCUGUGUCAGGCGCUGGGCAACGGCUCCCUGAAACAGCAGAGAGCUCUGUACUAAAGAGGACAGGUCCCGGGGGACAGCAGCAGAUGUGGUGUGCAGAGUGAUUCUUCCCUCAAUGUGUGAGAUGAGAGUAAACGUUUGGAUAAGUUAUUAAUUCAAGAUGAGCAAGAAAGACACUAGCUUCUUGUUCCAGGUGCUUUUUUUUUUAUUUUAACUAACAGUAAGCUAGACCCGUGUUGUCUUAGACCUGGGAUGUGGUGUGUCCUG